GGGCUAGCGUUGUUCGGAAUCACUGGGCGUAAAGGGCGCGUAGGCGGCUUUAUAAGUCGGGGUGAAAGCCUGUGGCUCAACCACAGAAUUGCCUUCGAUACUGUAGAGCUUGAGACCGGAAGAGGUAAGUGGAACUGCGAGUGUAGAGGUGAAAUUCGUAGAUAUUCGCAAGAACACCAGUGGCGAAGGCGGCUACUGGUCCGGUUCUGACGCUGAGGCGCGAAAGCGUGGGAGCAACAGG
rnacentral:rRNA from 1 species